rnacentral:rRNA from 1 species
GAUGAACGCUGGCGGCGUGCCUAAUACAUGCAAGUCGAGCGAACAGACGAGGAGCUUGCUCCUCUGACGUUAGCAGCGGACGGGUGAGUAACACGUGGAUAACCUACCUAUAAGACUGGGAUAACUUCGGGAAACCGGAGCUAAUACCGGAUAAUAUAUUGAACCGCAUGGUUCAAUAGUGAAAGACGGUUUUGCUGUCACUUAUAGAUGGAUCCGCGCCGCAUUAGCUAGUUGGUAAGGUAACGGCUUACCAAGGCGACGAUGCGUAGCCGACCUGAGAGGGUGAUCGGCCACACUGGAACUGAGACACGGUCCAGACUCCUACGGGAGGCAGCAGUAGGGAAUCUUCCGCAAUGGGCGAAAGCCUGACGGAGCAACGCCGCGUGAGUGAUGAAGGUCUUCGGAUCGUAAAACGCUGUUAUUAGGGAAGAACAAAUGUGUAAGUAACUAUGCACGUCUUGACGGUACCUAAUCAGAAAGCCACGGCUAACUACGU